UACGGGGGGGGCAAGCGUUGUUCGGAAUUACUGGGCGUAAAGGGCUCGUAGGUGGCCAACUAAGUCAGACGUGAAAUCCCUCGGCUUAACCGGGGAACUGCGUCUGAUACUGGAUGGCUUGAGUUCGGGAGAGGGAUGUGGAAUUCCAGGUGUAGCGGUGAAAUGCGUAGAUAUCUGGAGGAACACCGGUGGCGAAGGCGGCAUCCUGGACCGACAUUGACGCUGAGGCGCGAAAGCCAGGGGAGCAAAGCGGG
rnacentral:rRNA from 1 species